CAAUUUUCUCGACAUUUUUCGGUGUUACAGAUCAUUACCUCUCCGUACGCUAGCAACCCCUUCCCUCUUCUUUCUCGGUUUCAUUCUUCUUGAUUGAAAUCUCCUCCCUCUUCUUUGUUCUUGAUUUUUACCAUCUUCAUCAAUUCCACACACUAACAUGAUAUGAUUGAAUUAAUUCCAAAUUGUUUCACAGAAAUCUCACGGUAACAAAUACCCCAGAAGUUCAAAUCAAACCCAAAAUUUUGAGAGAGUUUGAAAAUUGGGAUGAACUGAUUGAAUUAAGUUUACAGUCAGAAAAGUUGGAAAUCCCAGUUUGGGGUUAGGGCUUCCCGUUUCAGUCAGGGUUUCCCAAGCUUUUCUCUCCAGUUCAAAGGGCUUCACGAUGCUCAUAGUCUUCUGCUAAAACCUCAAAUGGAGCAUGUUGCGUCAUAUUAGGGGUGCUUUUCUAUCCGCUACUCAUUCCAUAAUAAUGUACGAACACAGGGGAGUUUGAGACUGAUUGUUUUCUAUCCAUUGUUUUGUUAAUGGAACGUAAAAAGAAAAAAGAUGAAAAGCCUUGGGUGUCUACUCUCUUUGUUUGAUGACGAAAUGAGAAGAGUAUGUGGAAAAAUAGAUUAUUAGUGCAUGAAAAAAACCUAACAAAAGAUUAGUUGGGUAUUACAGAUUUUUGUUAGUUCAUCCCUUAAAUCUGAACAGCAAGAUGCUGGCCCAUGAAAUGUCUAACUUUGCAAGUGAAUUCAUUGGAGCUAGAACUACUACAAGGAAAGAAAUUAAUGAAUAUGUUGGCUGAAGUUGUAGGCUUGGUUACUGCAUUACAGUGGGCUAAAGGGCUUGACUUAGCCUGUUCAUACUGUGUGGUAUUGGAAAAACUAUGGGCGGAAACGUUGAGAAGUUCGAUUUUAUUUGGAGCGGAAGGGCAGGCACAUCGCGUGUGCGUGUUAUACUAGUACACAAUUAAAGAAAGGAAAACCCAUCAUUUCCUUUUCAAUUUUAGAUCUGAAAAUUUCAAUCUCUCUUCCUCCUCCUCUCCAGCCAUCACCUCCAUCAUCAUUGUUUUUCUCCACCCCGUUUCCGUCGGGAUUAAUGGUGUUGGUGGUGGAGGAUAUCAAAUAUGUACUAGUUGAUCCGUCGAAUUGAUUUUCCUUAUUAGAUUCAUAAAUCUCUGUUAUUUUUGUUGAUGAUAGUGGCGCUGCCUGUUGUGGAGAAUGUUAAAUAGUGGUUCCUUUACUUAACGAUAAUAGUGAUGACAGUGAAGGAGGGUAUCAAUCUUUGUUUUAUUAGUUGUUGAUGAUGGUAUGGCGGCGGUGGUGGUGAUGGAAGAAAAAUAUUAGUGAAGAUGUACCACUUUUGGGUGUGAAGAUCUGGAAACCGGUGAUUUCUGUAGUGUAAUGAGUUAGCUUACUAACAAGAGUAUAAUUAGUAUUUUCAUUCCUUGGGUUACAUGGGAUGAACACUAGUGGUGGUGCGAUUAAUCCUCCUCUUGUGACAUUCUUUUCUCAUUCAAAUGUUAAUCGAAUGUAUGAUUUUAAGACGGAGUUUUUCAUUUUAGAUCUUGUCCUAAUGGUUUGAUGUCUUUGUGCAUGCAAUAAUUGAUUAUCUUCUUUCUCUA